rnacentral:rRNA from 1 species
AGACAGAGGGUGCAAACGUUGCUCGGAAUUACUGGGCGUAAAGCGCACGUAGGCGGAAUGUUAAGUUAGAGGUGAAAUCCCAGGGCUCAACCCUGGAACUGCCUUUAAUACUGGCAAUCUAGAGACCGAGAGAGGUGAGUGGAAUUCCGAGUGUAGAGGUGAAAUUCGUAGAUAUUCGGAGGAACACCAGUGGCGAAGGCGGCUCACUGGCUCGGUACUGACGCUGAGGUGCGAAAGCGUGGGGAGCAAACAGAAUUAGAAACCCCAGUAGUCC